rnacentral:lncRNA from 1 species
AGGGUAAUCCGCAACCUCUAAAAAAAUGCUAGUAUACCUUCAAGUAGAGGGGUAAUCCACACUCUACUAAGAAAGAACUAGCUCUGAUAUCUCAAGUUAAUGUAGUCUCGACAAACUGUCUCGGACACAAAAUACAGACUUGAAAUCUAAUAAGAAGUUCAAGAAGAAGUGACAGAACUAGAUUAAACAGAUGAGUACAAGAACAACACCAGAAAGGUGAGCUAGAACUCCAAGAGAUGUG